AACGCAUAUUGCGCUCUUUGGUAUUCCGAAGAGCAUGCUUGUUUGAGUAUCAGUAAACACCUCAGCCAGAUUCAUUUCUGGAUGGACUUGAGCAAACCCAACAGUCUUCACCGACCGAGCGGGUUGCUUGAAAUGCAGGUGCAGCUGUGAUACAAACAGACUGAGCUAAAAGCAUAUCUAAUUUAGUCCGCCUGGCGGAUUAUUUCUAUUUGCUGCAGUUCAUAAAAAAGUCUGUUCGUCUCUGCUGACUGAUGCAGGAUUGUUAGACUUUUCUGAUCUCUUUCGAAGAGACCAAGAACUUCUUUCAAAACUCGAUCUCAAAUCAAGUAAGACUACCCGCUGAACUUAA
rnacentral:misc_RNA from 1 species